rnacentral:rRNA from 1 species
UACGUAGGUGGCAAGCGUUGUCCGGAAUUAUUGGGCGUAAAGCGCGUGUAGGCGGCAGGCCAAGUCUGCGGUGAAAGCGCCCGGCUCAACUGGGCGAGGUCCGUGGAAACUGGUCAGCUGGAGGACGGUAGAGGCGAGUGGAAUUCCCGGUGUAGUGGUGAAAUGCGUAGAGAUCGGGAGGAACACCUGUGGCGAAGGCGGCUCGCUGGGCCGGUCCUGACGCUGAGGCGCGAAAGCGUGGGGAGCGAACAGG